GUGGCAGUUAAUGUGUUAAAACCAUCAGUAUGUGGGUGACUCCCACACAAAUACCUCUAUGUGCCGUGUGCCUGGGUUUCUCAAUUCCAGUGGACUAUUGAACAUCUCACUCUGGCUAAAUUUACUUUUCAAAGCAGAACUCUAUAUCUCCCUCACCCACACCCAUGCCUUCUUCAUUUCAAGUAACGUCCCCUUCCCACUUUACUCAGUCCAAAACCGGAAGUGUUGCUCUGAGGAAGCCUCUCGGGAAGUUUCACUGAGCCUGUAAAUGGCCUUAUAAAAUAGGCCUCUAAGAGUAAAGGAGCUGGAGCUCUGGGAGGUGAUCAUGGAGGAUGUACAUUCGGGGAAGAUUACUAUUUGCCAACUUUGUUUUCAAUGGUUAUAGCACAUCCUGUAAAGACCUUCAAAAGCAAAUUGUGAAGACGAAGAAUGAUUACCAAAUGGGGUAUUUCCUACCCAGUGACUUCAGAAUCUGCAAUCACAAUGAGUAGAAUCACUUUCUUCUCACAACUAUACUCAAAGAGAAGCUUCUCCUAUCAUCAUCCUGGGUUUGGCAUCGUGACUCUCUCUUCUGUAGUGGAAGUCUCAACUCAACAAAUGGGCUUACGCUUUUCAUGUCUUGGAAAUGAAGAUAUAUUACUCUCUAAACAACAAAAACCAAAAGCCAAAGAAAUUCUUAAUAGUAUGUGGUAUCCAAUUCAAAUAGAAAAUACUAUAGAAACAGCUAACUUGAGUGGACCAGUCUUAAUCAGCGCUGAAGAACUGCAGUAUAGAACCAACUUUAGAGCUAGUGAAGUAUGGAAACGAAACGGUUCCUAUUAUUUUGAGAGCAUGCGUAGCGUUCUGUACGUUCACAUGUUAAAGACAGCAGUGAAAUAAGCAAUGAGAAAUGACUGUCACAAAAUCCAUUCACUUAAGCAUAAUCUGCUUUUUCUGUUUUUUAUUCCAGGUCUAUUCACUCUUAUUACUUUAUAUAUAAUUCUAACUGGCUUAGUCAUCUGGUUUCCAAAGCAACAGCAGAUCAGAAGGCGCAUUCAUUAUGAAGGUGGAGAAAUGCUAUUAUCACAGGCACACUAGAGCAAAAAGUGAAAUAAAUGGAGGAAUCAGAACAAUGGUUUAAAAACAAAGACGUGAAAGCUAAAACAAGCACAGCAGAACCAUUUAGUACAGGGACAAACGGCUCUCAGCAUCUAAUUAGUCUAGUAGAGUAUAACAACUCACCUUAACAACUAUUUUGAUAUGAAACAAAUGCUUUUCAUAUAUUAUUUAAGAAGAAAGCGAUGCAUAUAAAUUUUAUAAAGAUUUCCUUUAGAAAUUAUUUAAAAAAAUUUUAAUGCUAAAAGAGGUUUAGUCUCUACAGGAAACUGGGAUAUCUAGAAUGACUCAUUCCCUAGAUGUUCAAGUUAGCCAGUUCUUUGUAAAUUCCAUAUUUAGAUUCAAACAGUUCUAGACCAUAAGUCUUAGUGAAUAGAAUUGAAGUUAUAUUUAUAACGCUGUAAGUUUUAAAUCUGUGUCCUAUACUAAGAACAAUUAAUGAGAACAAAAUAUUUGACGUUUUCCUGAAAUAGACACAAUGAUUUAUACAAAGAUGAUAGUAAAAUUUUCUUUUACAGCUGAAUUCAUUAAUGGAGAAUCCUAGACACAUCAAUAUAUAAAAAGUGAAUUAAUACUUUAAAUAUAUGGCAAUCACAUAUUCUACCAAGUAUUUUUAGCAAGUUCUUAGGUAAAGGGCAAACCAAAGAAUGCUAAGCAGACGAACAGUCACCACAAAGUCCAUGCACUUUACUGACAGGAAAGCCCCUUAGCCUUCUUUCAGUCUACUUACUCUUAUUUUAGACACAAUUUUAGCAAGCUUGGCAAUCUGGCUUCUCAGUCCACGGCAGAUUGGAAGCAGCAAAUUAGGGGCCUAUUGCAGGAGGCAGGCACACAAGACAGCAGCAAAAGUGACAGCUGAUUAUAAGGGAAGAUAAAGAAACUGUGAAAAACAGACAUAACUCAAAAAGCAUAGCAAUGUGAGCUCAUGUAGUAAAGAGGCAUGUGAUUAGUAGCCCCUGGGGGUGAAUUUCUGUUUAUCACAUUAUGGAAGGAACUGAUACUCUUACAGAUGAUAGAGAAAAAGUUAAAUUAUAUGUACUCUGGAAAAAGUGAAGUAGAAAGUAUACUUAGUUUAGCAAAAUGUUAAAUUUCACAAUUAAAGGAUUUGCCUUAGCUGAAAAAUUAACACCUGUCAAUGAUGACAAAUAGUUAUUGUACGUCAGCAAUUUUUCCUAUAUUUUCUCUUCUAAAAUGCAGCUUCAUUUACUAAUGUAAAGUGUGAUUUGCAUAGAUACAUUCUUAGAAAGAGAAUUGGAAGAAUAAAUCUUUAUGCUUUGUCUGGCUGUCAUUCAUAGUAUAGUAUCUACGUUAGUUCAAAGAAUGAUUUAGCUGAACUAUACCUAAGUCUUAGGAUAUUUAGUUCUUGUUUCCUUGUUUUGUUUGGGUAUAGAAAUACUGUAUACUAUGAUUAAACCAAAUCGGUUAACUUUUAUUCCCAUACGAUUCCUAAUGAUUUGUUAAAAUAUUUCCUAUUUUACAUUACUGAUGGAAAGAGUCAAAAUCACCAGAAUGAAAUGAUCGGUAGGAUCUCUCCUGACUAACACUCCAACGACUUACAAUUUUGUAGAUUGUAUCAGAAGUUGAUUAUUUUUAUUGCUUUAACAUUAAAAGCUUUAUAAUUUUUAUUAUGUAAAUCAGAAUACUAUUAUAUUUUUUUAAGAAAAUUGAAGUUUAAACUGACUUUCCUACUAUAGGUAGACAAAGGGUAAAAAUCCUGUCUGUGACAGUGACCUAAAUAGAUUCUCAAAUGCAUUCUUCCAUUAACUAGUAGGUUUGUCCUAGUAGAACAGAAUAGGGAAAUCUUUGCAUUAAAAACUAUCAGGAUAGGGCAGUGCCUAUGGUUCAAAGGAGUAGGGCACGGGCCCCAUCUGCUGGAGGUGGUAGGUUCAAACCCAGCCCCAGCCAAAAACUGCAGGGGGCGGGGGGGGGGAGUAGGGGGUGGAAGCUAUCAGGAUGCUACUCCUAAAAAGAAUUAUACUGUCAAAAUAAUAUUAUAACAUUUGGAAAGCACAAUUCUAAGUUUUCCCCAUGAAAUGUUUUUUCCAGAGGGCUGCUUCUGGAUAUAGGAUGGCAGCUAUUAAAACGAGGCAAUACAUUUUACUCUCCCCAAAUUAGAUCAAUACAUUUUUUGAAAGGAGCACUUAUGUUGAAUAAUAAUAAUAAAUAGUUUUAAAAGGAAAACAAAAGUCAAAAUCUGAUUUUAAAAAAGGAAAAUAUUCUUAGAAAAGUAAUAAAAAAAAAUACCUACUUGUAUUGCACUGGCCUGUCUGUUUAUAUUUCCUAAGGUGUUCAUUGCAAGAACAAAGUCCUAGACAGAGAUUCUUAGAUUUUAUUGGGCAUAAACAUUACCUAGGUCUCAUUCCAAAAUGACCAAGUAAAAAUCACUGGGACUGUGGCUUAAAAUAUGCAUUAAAAAAUAAAAAUUCCAGUUUAUUCUGAUGCAAGUACCCCACUAAAACAACUGAGAAACACUGACUUAGAAUAAGAGAAAAUUAGUUAAGAAAUUUUCAUAGACGAUAAUACUUUAAAUUAGAAAUACUGUAUUUUAAAAGAUGAAAACUACAUGUAAGUAGAAUAUUCAAUUAAAAUUCUAAGAUUGUUAUAUUAAAUAUUGUAAUUUCAACAAGUAGAGUUUUCAUGGAAUUAAGUAAUAACUAGUGAAUAAAACCGACCAGCCUAAAAGACUAGAAAUUCCUGAUUAAAAUUAUUCAAUCUUUCAAAAUUAAAAAGUAUCACCUUAGAGAACAUUGAAUAAAACUGAUCCAAUAUUAUGAAGACAUUUCCCAAAAGUGGUGUAAUAAAAAUAAAAUAUAAUAAAAGAAUUAAAAAUUAUUAAACUCUAAUUCUUUCUGUGUAAGGUUAUAGUUUAGGAGGAUAAUUACUUCUAAAUCCAAGGAAAAAUGAAGUCAGCAAACUAAUUUAAAUAACUGUAAAUAUUAUUUAAGAAUAUAAUAGUCAAGUAUAGUAUGAGAAGAUAUUUUUUUCUUAAAAUCUAGUUGUUUCUGAGUGGUAAAGUUAGGCCCACUGUAGGGUAUUGCUAAGAGUUGAGGUAUAGCCCCUAUGUCAGUGCAUAGGAGUUACAGGUUUCAAAAACAGUAUACUUCUAAAAAUAUCCCUCUUUGAAAAAUGUAAUCACAACACAAAACAGAUGAGAUUGGCCAAUGCGUAAAACAGUCUCUUUCAAGAGGUAGUUUGAAAAUGUCCCAAGAAGCUGGCAUGAUGUUUCCUGAAUCUCGUUAAGGUGGACAGGGCUAGAAAACAGCAGCAUUGUCACCAGUGUGUGAUAGUGGCACCCAAUCAUCUCUAGGCAAACUGAUACAAAGAACUUUAUGCUAAAUUGGGGGCCUGGCCUUGGACUAUAGGGAUCUCAUUUGUUAUCAUCUCUUUUAGUUGCAAUAAGAAUGGAAGAAGUAAUAAACAAAAACAUUGAAAGUGUAAUUCUUAAAAUGGUACAAUGCUCUUCUUUUAAAAAGUCAUUAAGAUAUCUUAAAAUUAACUACUAAAAUACACACAUCAUCAAGGAAACAUAAGAAAUAGGUCACUUCCCCUGGCAGGGCGUGGGCACGAUGCUGCCUCUCAGUUCUCGCCCACUGUAAGAUUCAACACCGCUGCAGACUCCCCCUGCUUCCCAGGGCAUUACAAGAUCUUUGGCCUUAGUGAAAUUCCCAGACUUAAGAGUGGACCAGAUGUCAAAGGGGCUCUUACCCAAUACUCCUUAUUCCCUUCCCUGCUUUAGUUUCCUCCACAGCACUGACCACCCUCAAAUAUUUGGCUUGUUUUACUUAUUUAUCUUGUUUAUCAUUUGUUCUUUUCACUAGACCUGUGCUGUCCAAUACCGUAGCUACAUGUGACUCCUUGAUUACUUGAAAUAUGACUAGUCUGAAUUAUGAUAAGCUGUGAGUACACAAUACACACCAGAUUUUGAAGGCUUCAUAUGAAAAAGAAUGUAAAAUGUCUCAUUAAUUUUAAAAUACUGAUUACAUGUUGAAAUG